CCCGGCGGUGGGCAAGCGUGCCGCCUUUUCCGGCACGAGCUGGAGCGCUAUAUGAACUACAAGCCCAGCGGCGAGUGUCCGUCUGACGAGCAGUUCGCACAGCGGCUCAUGCUCAAGGGCUGUGAGCCACUGCCACGGCGGCGGUGCCGGACACGCAGCCCGGCAGGGUACGCUGAGCCCACACCACUGCCGGCGAGCCUGUGGUCCAUGCCGCCGGACACCAGCAUCAUGUGGGACGCGUACACGUGCAAGAACUACUCCUGCCUUGCUAAUCGCAGCAAGAGCAAGGGAUUCUACGACUGCAAAGACUGCUUCGACCUGCUCAACGGGCGGGAGAAGGGCCGGUGGAUGCGCGACGACGGUGCGCUCUCAUACUCCAUCGACGCGGUGCUUGCGACGAAGCCCAACGGCACAGUGCGCAUCGGGCUCGACAUUGGCGGCGGGUCGGGCACGUUCGCUGCACGGAUGCAGGAGCGUGGGGUGGCCGUGGUGACCACUUCCAUGAACUUCGAUGGCCCAUUCAAUAGCUUCAUAGCUUCGCGGGGUCUUGUCCCCAUGCACCUCAGCAUCGCGCACCGGCUACCGUUCUUCGACGGCACACUCGACAUCGUGCACUCGAUGCAUGUGCUCAGCCACUGGAUCCCUGAUGCCAUGCUUCAGUUCGCGUUGUUCGACAUCUACAGAGUGCUGAGGCCUGGAGGAUUGUUCUGGUUCGACCACUUCUUCUGCCUCGGCACGCAAAUGAACACAACGUAUGUGCCCAUGUUCAAUCAAAUCGGUUUCAACAAGGUGCGGUGGAAUGCGAGACGGAAGCUGGACCGAGGGAUCGAGAUGAACGAGUGGUACCUCUCAGCGCUGCUCGAAAAGCCCACUACCUAG
rnacentral:rRNA from 1 species